ensembl:lincRNA
CUUACGUAAUGUAAAAUAGUAGGCACAUAGUUGAAUGAAGGCUCAGGCAGAGAGGAUCACUUUUCAAAGAUUGUAAAAGAAGUUACGUGGAUAGUGUGUGUUAUGCAGCAAGGAAAGGAAUGGAAAAUCAGAAGACGUGUUUAGAUCACACAAACCAGAGGUGAAAGCUGAAUCUGAGAGGCUUCUGUUUCCAGCAAUAAGGUUAAUGCCUCAGUGUUUUAAGAGACUUAUUUUACCAGAGAAACUCCAAACCUGGCAAACAAAGGCCUGUGAGUACUCAACCCUUAAGACAAUCCUAAAUGCCCC